AGUUACAAUUUCUUAAUCUAUUUCAGACUAUUAUUAUUUAAGAAAUUUAUUGGAUUUGGCGGCAAAAUAACUUUUUAGAGGAACCUGCCCUAUAAAUGACGGACCCCAAUUUACCUUACUUUUUUUAGUAACCAGCUUACAUACCGCUGUUGCCAGUUAGAUUCUUUAGAAAACUAUCAACAAUAUAUGAAUUAUCAACUUCAAGUAAAGGUGUAGCUUAUGAAAAAGACAGAGGUGGGUUACAAUUAAUUGAUUAAAACGAAUUUGUUAUUGAAAAAGAUUCUGAAGGAGGAUUUAAUAGUAAAAUUUUUUAAUGAAAAUUUGAGAUGAGCAAUAUUUUGUG
rnacentral:rRNA from 1 species